rnacentral:rRNA from 1 species
CCUACGGGAGGCAGCAGUGAGGAAUAUUGGUCAAUGGACGAGAGUCUGAACCAGCCAAGUAGCGUGAAGGAUGACUGCCCUAUGGGUUGUAACCUUCUUCUAUAAAGGAAUAAAACGAGGCACGUGUGCCUCUUUGCAUGUACUUUAUGAAUAAGGAUCGGCUAACUCCGUGCCAGCAGCAGCGGUAAUAUGGAGGAUCCGAGCGUUAUCCGGAUUUAAUGUGUUUAAAGGGAGCGUAGAUGGGUUGUUAAGUCAGUUGUGAAAGUUUGCGGCUCAACCGUAAAAUUGCAAUUGAUACUGGCAGUCUUGAGUACAGUUGAGGAAGGCGGAAUGCGUGGUGUAGCGGUGAAAUGCUUAGAUAUCACGAAGAACCCCGAUUGCGAAGGCAGCUAACUAAACUGUGACUGACAUUGAUGCUCGAAAGUGUGGGUAUCAAACAGGAUUAGAUACCCGAGUAGUC